GCUGGGUGUGGUGGUGCAUAUCUGUAAUCCUAGCUACUCGGGAGGCUGAGGUGGGAGGAUCGCUUGAGCCCAGGAGUUCAAGGCUUUAGUGAGCUAUGAUCAUGCCACUGCACUCCAGCCUGGGCAACAGAAUGAGACCCUGUCUCAA
rfam:Homo sapiens chromosome 3, GRCh38 reference primary assembly.